GGGCAAAGUGACAUCUCUGAGCACGACUUCUCAGAUGAAGAAUGAGAAUGAAAUAGAGUUCUGAUGUUUUGUGAAUCUAAGAAGAGGACCUGGGCUUCCAGUCAGUCCUCCAUUCUGGACUAGUAACAUCUCUGUACAGAGAGGUAGAGACUCCCAGCUUGGAGCAAGUCUAGAUUAAAGUGGCAAAGCUGCUAUAAACUUGGAUGUUCGUGUUUUUAUCAUUCAGAUCGUUUCAACAGCAAUAACUAAAGUCAGCAUGGGCUCCAUUGAAUUUCAUGGCCUUUGAAGCCCAGGCCUCAGUUUGCCAGGCCCUGUGAUGGGGAUUCUCAUACCCUUCUCCUGAAGCUGGUGUAGGUGCUCCAGGGGCUGUGACCAGUCUGACAGCAG
rnacentral:lncRNA from 1 species